rnacentral:lncRNA from 1 species
AUAAGUUCAGUUUUGAAACUUUAUGUUUCAAGAAAUUCAUAUAUUAGUUCGAUUUUAAAACUUUAUGUUUCAAGAAAUUCAUAUAUUAGUUCGAUUUUAAAACUUUAUGUUUCAAGAAAUUCACACACUAUCUGUUAAUCAUGAAACAUUAUUGCUUUAUCCGCCAUUCCUGGAUUUAAUGUUAAUUAGUGAAGCUGGUAUCGUUAUCAAUACAAGACAACCAAUCCGCUGAUUAUUUAGUUCAUGUUUGGCACUCUGGUUACUUAUAUAUCUCUUUCUAUUGGAUGAAACUAUCUCUCCGACCCCACUUGGUGGGAAUAUACUGGGUAUGUUGUUGCACUGAAUGAAACUAUCCUGAUUUUGUGAAUGCACACGACGUGCAUCAUUCGGAAAGAAAUAAUGCGUGCAGUAAGAUGAUUAGUACAGUCGGUAUCUUAUAUUUGUAAACUCCUCCAUUGCCAGACCCUCCUUGAUUCCUCUACUUAUGUGUAGCAAUCAAGAAGCAUCAUGCUUUUUUGGUUAAGAGUGAUAUGUACAGAUUCUGUUUACAUAACAGGCACUAAUCAAACGGCUUCUGUUCCACGUUAUCGUAGCUAGCUUCUUUGCAGAUGAUCGGGAAGAACCAACAUCAGCAAAUGAUUUCAAGGCAUCACCUUCUCCAUCAAAUGCCAAUCUUGGUGGUUCGACAGGUUCCAAUAGCCCACCAUCACGUGGCACCUCUAGCGAAUCAUCUGGUGGGCAAGGCAGUCCCCUGAAUCAUAGCGGUCCAGUAUGCAACAACGAAGAAGACUGAAGGGAUCUCGAGCAUGCCUUGGAAAUGAGUAGUUAUUAAUGCUCUCUUUUCUUGAUCAAUUGAACUUCUUGUCGCGACUAAAUUCACUGAAGUAGACUGAGGGGAUUGUAAUUUAGCUUUUUGUGUUUCAUCAAUCAUAGGAGAUGGUUUGGCUUUAGCUGUUAUUAUGUACUGUUACCUAGGGACAUCACUUCCCAUAUUAGCCAUCUUCAACUUACAGUGCAUCUUAUUGCAAUUCUGUGAUCUAGAAGAGUAUCAAUUAUGUUGAAAAGGUAAGUGUUAAUUAAUUUUGAAGGAUCGGAAACACUUGCCUUUUCAACAUAAUUGAUACUCUUCUAGAUCACAGAAUUGCAAUAAGAUGCGCUGUAAGUUGAAGAGGGCCAAUAUGGAAAGUGAUAUCCCUAGAUAACAGUACAUAAUAAUAGCUAAAGCCAAACCGUGUCCUAUAACUGAUGAAACACAAAAAGCUAAAUUACAAUCCCCUCAGUCUUCUUCAAUGAAUUUAGUCGCGACAAGAAGUUCAAUUGAUCAGAAAAGAGAAUAACUACUCAUUUCCAAGGCAUGCUCGAGAUCCCUUCAGUCUUCUUCAUUGUUGCAUACUAGACCGCUAUGAUUCAGGGGACUGCCUUGCCCACCAGAUGAUUCGCUAGAGGUGCCACGUGAUGGUGGGCUAUUGGAACCCGUCGAACCACCAAGAUUGGCAUUCGAUGGAGAAGGUGAUGCCUCGAAAUCAUUUGCUGAUGUUGGUUCUUCCCGACCAUCUGCAAAGAAGCUAGCUACGAUAACCUGGAACAGAAGCCGUUUGAUUAAUGCCUGCUAUGUAAACAGAAUCUGUACAUAUCACUCUUAACAAAAAAGGCAUGAUGCUUCUUGAUUGCUCACAUAAGUAGAGGAAUCAAGGAGGGAGAAGGUCUGGGAAUCGAGGAGUUUACAGAUAUAAGAUAUUGACUAUUACUCAGCAUACUGCACGCAUUCUUUCUUUCUUUUCCGAAUGAUGCACAUAGCGUGCAUUCACAAAACUAGGAUAGUUUCAUCUAAUGCAACAACAUACCCAGUAAAUUUUCCACCAAGUGGGGUCUGGGAGAUAGUUUCAUCCAAUGGAAAGAGGUAAAUAAGUAACUAGAGUCCCAAAACAUGAACUAAAUAACAA